rnacentral:ribozyme from 1 species
GAAAGACUUUGCCCUACAACGGCAUGGGAUCCGAAGCCACCUGAAGAUCCCAUCCAACUCCUAUUCCGACACGUCCACGUCGUGCAGGGUUGUAACAUAGGCAUGAACCCAACCUUUUGGGCGAGUGACGGCUCAUGGCUAAGGAGGAAGGC